GAUGAAUGCUGGCGGCGUGCCUAACACAUGCAAGUCGAGCGGCAGCGCGGAGAGUUUACUCUCUGGCGGCGAGCGGCGGACGGCUGAGUAACGCGUGGGAACGUGCCCCAAAGUGAGGAAUAACUGCCCGAAAGAGUGGCUAAUGCCGCAUAUGAUCUUCGGAUUAAAGGAUUUAUCCGCUUUGGGAGCGGCCCGCGUCGGAUUAGGUUGUUGGUGAGGUAAUGGCUCACCAAGCCGACGAUCCGUAGCUGGUCUGAGAGGAUGAUCAGCCAGACUGGGACUGGGACACGGCCCAGACUCCUACGGGAGGCAGCAGUGAGGAAUUUUCCACAAUGGGCGAAAGCCUGAUGGAGCAACGCUGCGUGCAGGAUGAAGGCCUUCGGGUUGUAAACUGCUUUUAUAAGUGAAGAAUAUGACGGUAACUUAUGAAUAAGCACCGGCUAACUACGUGCCAGCAGCCGCCGUAAAAC
rnacentral:rRNA from 1 species